GAAUUCUGAAAUGCCUCCGCAGCAGAGUCGUCGGAGCUGUCACACCCCUUUUCUCAUCUACAAAAAAUUAAUUUCAAGUUUUGAAAGGGUUUUUAUUAUCAAAGUGACGAAAAAUAAAAAUUUGUUUCGAAAAAUGAUUAUUUACAUUUUUAUUCAGAGUCUCCACUUGACAUAAUCCGGUGUGCCAAGUCACCUUUGAAAAAUCCUUUUCAAAACAGUUUGACUCUUUAAGACUGGUUUGCAAAAAGAGAUUCCGGCUAAGGAAUUCUGUUGACUGAGGGGAAGGUGUUUGGCACCCCUCGAUCCCGUGUUCGAUCACGGUCGCUUGGUGGAAUAUAUCGGCUAACUUUGAAACUAAGAAUGUAUAAACCAUAUAAAACACAUAAACAAGCAACAAAAACAUCAAACAACAAUUCCAAAACCAAAAUAAUAUUGUUCAGUUCAAUUAUACAGUCCAAAAAUAAAAAAACAUAUGGAAAGGUAAAACCUAUUCUAUUCUAAACUAGUCCUAAACUAAACUCUAACCCGCUGCCUCGUGUCUUCGUCACGAACGUCCUCCGGGUACAAAAUACUUCGGGGCAUUCCCCGGCGAAUAAACACAAAUACCUCGGGGCAUUCCCCGGGCAAAUGAAUACACUUUUAGUGCGAGAAAAUCAAACUAUUUAACAAAAUCUCAAAUAUUCAAAAAAAAAAAACGAGUCCUAAACUUUGCUUACCCAACCUAUAUUCGCCUAUUCAUUUCAACGCCAUUUAAUGAAUCAAAAUAAAUUAAUGAUUGCUUUUAUCAAUGUCAAUUCUAACCACCCACGUUGGCUUUCAUUUUUCAUCAAUUACACCAACUACUACUCAUAUUCAUUCCAUGUUGCAUCGAAAACACACUGUGAAGCACAAAGUCAUGACAUCUAACGUCAACAAAACUCACCCACUACGAUCACAUCACACAUAAUCACAAUAAUUAAACACAUUUGAGACAAUAACAAGAAUAUAGAGUUGAGGGAUGGACCUUAAACCGCUUUUUGACCAAUAUUAUUCGAUGAGAUAAAGAAAACCCGCCUCCGACAACCUCGACUUAAGCUCCAACGACAAAUCUGUCCAGCUCAGUAUUUAGGAAAUUGAAACCUGAAGUCCGAUUCAAAUAAACAAUUCGCAAAGCGACUGAAAGUAUUCAAUACACGCCUGGGAUCGAUCCUAUUAGACGAAACUGACCCGAACGGACCAACGAGUACCUGGACUAGAAUUUCAGAAGAAAGAAAAAUAAUAGAAAACUCACGAUAUCAAGAAACCCCAGUACUUUUCGGCUAUAUUUCUCCACAAAAAUCAAGGAAGAAUAAGACCCGCACCCCCAAUUCUCGCUGGAUUCAGUCUGAACUUUGUCGGAAUCGACCCAAAUAAGCUGGAAUCGACCCGAACAGGCUUUUUUCAAGCUGAUUUUCCGGUCAAAAUCAUCUCUUUCGAACUUCUGAUCUCGAUCUGUCUUCGCGAUUCUCUCUCUCGACUUCAGCUUGUAUCUCCUCUCCGAAACUCCAUCUCCCUUAAACUCUAUCGUGUGUGUGCGUAUGGUGAAGUUUUGGUGUGUGUCUAUGGCAUGAGUUUAGUGAAAGAAGAGAAAAAAAAAAUGGACCCUAUUGUUAUUGUGAGGAAGAAAUAAAAAAAAAUGGGGCUCUUAGUAAUGUAUCCCUUUUUUAUCUCCGUUCCCCCUAUGUGUAUGAAUGGAAUAUGUAUAUAUCUGUGAGUGUUGUGUGUGUAGGUGUAUGGGUGGAGUGACGUGAGUAGU
rnacentral:lncRNA from 1 species